rnacentral:lncRNA from 1 species
GAGGGAGGCAGUUCCUCAGCUGAGGUUCUCUUCUUUCCGGUGACUCUAGCUUGUGUAAAGAUGACAUCAACUAGCCAGCACAGCCCAGAGCAGUCAGAGCAGGUUCCGUUUGUGUGGAGUGACCCACACAGAGGCUGGUGUUACCCAGCUUCAUUCGUCGUAGCCGCAGCCUGAUUUUCUCGCCUCUGUGUGGAGGUGACCUAGCAUUGUACUUGUUCAAAGCCACUGCUGGCUUCCUUGGGUGCUUGCCACGGAGUCGUUUCUACGCGACACAUUUGGUGUUGCCUGCUUCUCUUUUGUAGAAAUCUGACGUUUGGAUGGGAUGGGCCGUCCUGGAGGCUACUCACGGCUCUCAAGUUGCUGUGUCUGGAAGCCGAGCGCUUGUGGCUCCCACUCAGGAGCUGAAUGAUGUCACGGCUUAGGAGCCGAGCUUCACUGUGCUCCGGAAGAAUGGGCGUGCUGUGUGUCAUCUUGCAGAGUGAGUGCCAUCUCCGGUAACGGGGACCUGCUGAAAUGACUUUAUUGAAUAUUUCUGCUCUAGCACAUCCUGGAAAAAGGUGCUCCUUGGCGAAGUCAUCUCCGAUACAAACGAGAAGACAAGCUUGGGCGUGGCCCAGAAAAUAUGCUCUGACGUCAUCGAGGAGACGCACGCUGUGCUGCGCAAGGUGUGGGCCCAAGGUUUCAGUCCCGAGGCUGCUUAUCAUGUGUGCCAUUAGGGAAGUCCUGAGAGUUCCUGAUGAACAAAUGUGGCUGUGUUAACAGGUUUACAUUUUACAAGUUAAGUAAAUGCGGCUGGGGAGCUGGCCUGAUGGUGACGACCGGCAUGCAAGCUGGGAUGGCAGCCUGUUUUCCCGGGGCCUGGGGUGGGGAUAGGCAGAAACCAGUGGAUGUAGGUGGAACCAGGAGAAUUAAGGAGGCUCGCUGGCCAGCUGGCCUAGUCCAGCGGUGAGUUCCAGGUUAAGUGAGAGACCUUGACUCACAGCAAUAGAGGUAGACAGCAAUAGGAGCUGGUGCCCAGCAUCCCCCUCUGGCUUCUGCGUGUGCGUGCGUGGGCCAGCACAUCCCACUGCAAGUUUUAUAUGUAGUGUACAGUGCACAGCGGUGCUUGAUACACACACACCUGUGGAGUGGCUUCACCAAGCACAGCAUUGUCCACCUGACUUUCUGUGCUGAGAGCUCUCAUCGUCUGUGUGAUGAACACGGUGCCUUGUUCCUAACUCUGCUCACGUGUUGCUGUCCAGAGAGCUCUCUCCCCUCUGUGUGUUGACGGACAUCCCCACAGUCUCGCCUCCAUUCACGUGCUGUCGGCCAUUCUUUCUGCAGUCCUAAGUAGAACAUGGAGGCUCUGGCCUAUUUCAUUUAACUUUGUGUCCUCCUGGCUUGUUGCUGAUGUCACACAAAGGGUCUCCUGAUCCCCGCCCCGUUUUUGUGACAUUGGGAUUGGAACCCAGGGCCUGAUACCUAGGCUUGUGCCCCACACCUGAGUUCGGUCACUUGCCCUUGGUUCUGUUUUGGACUGUACCCAUUUUUUUAUCCACUGAUCAUCACUGGGUACUUGGGUUGAAUCUUAGCUUUACCUCAUGUUUUAGUAGAUAGAAAUCAUUGCCUGGUCUCUUAGUAAUAGCAUUUCAACUAUUUCUUUCUGUGUGUGUUUUAAUUUUAUUUAUUUUAUUUUAUUUUUUCAAGACAAGGUUUCUCUGUGUA